GAUGAACGCUGGCGGCGUGCUUAACACAUGCAAGUCGAACGGGAAUUAUUUUAUUGAAACUUCGGUCGAUUUAAUUUAAUUCUAGUGGCGGACGGGUGAGUAACGCGUGGGUAACCUGCCUUAUACAGGGGGAUAACAGUCAGAAAUGGCUGCUAAUACCGCAUAAGCGCACAGAGCUGCAUGGCUCAGUGUGAAAAACUCCGGUGGUAUAAGAUGGACCCGCGUUGGAUUAGCUGGUUGGUGGGGUAACGGCCCACCAAGGCGACGAUCCAUAGCCGGCCUGAGAGGGUGAGCGGCCACAUUGGGGCUGAGACACGGCCCAGACUCCUACGGGAGGCAGCAGUGGGGAAUAUUGCACAAUGGGGGAAACCCUGAUGCAGCGACGCCGCGUGAAGGAAGAAGUAUCUCGGUAUGUAAACUUCUAUCAGCAGGGAAGAUAGUGACGGUACCUGACGAAGAAGCCCCGGCUAACUACGUG
rnacentral:rRNA from 1 species